GAUGAAGAACGUAGCGAAAUGCGAUAAGUAAUGCGAAUUGCAGAAUUCAGUGAGUCAUCGAAUCUUUGAACGCACAUUGCGCCCGCCGGUAUUCCGGCGGGCAUGCCUGUUCGAGCGUCAUUUCAACCAUCAAGCCCUGGGCUUGUGUUGGGGACCUGCGGCUGCCGCAGGCCCUGAAAUGCAGUGGCGGGCUCGCAAGACACACCGAGCGUAGUAGCUUACAACCUCGCUUUGGGAGUGCUGCGGGUGCUGGCCGUAAAGCGACCUUUGCGUCUUUAGCACUAGGUUGACCUCGGAUCAGGUAGGAGGACCCGCUGAACUUAAGCAUAUCAAUAAGCGGAGGA
rnacentral:misc_RNA from 1 species